CAGAAACAUAGGUCCGAGUACGAUCAACAAUCGACAACCCAAACUCGAUCAUAUGACUGGCUUCAGAAAAUCAUUUCAUCAGUGUCACACAUCUAUCUGAGGCAACCUCUGAGUGAAUGACCCUGUAUGUGGCAGUGCAAGGAAUGUAGUUUGAAGCUAGCUAGCAGAUUAAAGGUGACACAAUGGCCCAGCCAGCUGUUCUACGG